rnacentral:tRNA from 1 species
GGGGGCGCUACACACUUGUAUCGGGAGUGCGCUUGAAUGGCAUUCAAGAGAUAGUCAGUUCGGUCCCGAUCGUCUCCACCA